rnacentral:rRNA from 1 species
GACGAACGCUGGCGGCGCGCCUAACACAUGCAAGUCGAACGAGCGAGAGAGAGCUUGCUUUCUCGAGCGAGUGGCGAACGGGUGAGUAACGCGUGAGGAACCUGCCUCAAAGAGGGGGACAACAGUUGGAAACGACUGCUAAUACCGCAUAAGCCCACGGUGCCGCAUGGCACAGAGGGAAAAGGAGCAAUCCGCUUUGAGAUGGCCUCGCGUCCGAUUAGCUAGUUGGUGAGGUAACGGCCCACCAAGGCGACGAUCGGUAGCCGGACUGAGAGGUUGAACGGCCACAUUGGGACUGAGACACGGCCCAGACUCCUACGGGAGGCAGCAGUGGGGAAUAUUGCACAAUGGGGGAAACCCUGAUGCAGCGACGCCGCGUGGAGGAAGAAGGUCUUCGGAUUGUAAACUCCUGUUGUUGGGGAAGAUAAUGACGGUACCCAACAAGGAAG